rnacentral:rRNA from 1 species
UACAGAGGUCCCGAGCGUUGUUCGGAUUCACUGGGCGUAAAGGGUGCGUAGGUGGUGAGGUAAGUCGGAUGUGAAAUCUCCGGGCUCAACCCGGAAAUGGCAUUGGAAACUACCUUGCUAGAGGAUUUGAGGGGGGAUUGGAAUACUUGGUGUAGCAGUGAAAUGCGUAGGUAUCAAGUGGAACACCAGUGGCGAAGGCGAAUCCCUGGAAAAUACCUGACACUGAGGCACGAAAGCUAGGGGAGCAAACAGG